GGGGAAUCUUGGACAAUGGGCGAAAGCCUGAUCCAGCGACGCCGCGUGGAGGAAGAAGUCCUUCGGGAUGUAAACUUCUGAACUAGCCGAAUAAAAGGCCUGUGGACACACAGGAGAAGAAAGUAGGCUAGGAAAAGUCCCGGCUAACUCCGUGCCAGCAGCCGCGGUAAUACGGAGGAUCCGGGCGUUAUCCGGAUUUAUUGGGUUUAAAGGGUGCGCAGGCGGGGAUUUAGGUCGGCGGUGAAAUUUCGGGGCUCAACCUCGAUAGUGCCGUUGAAACCGUUUCUCUUGAGUGCGGAUGAGGUAGGCGGAAUUUGUGGUGUAGCGGUGAAAUGCGUAGAUAUCACAAGGAACACCGAUUGCGGAGGCAGCUUACUAAACCGUUACUGACGCUCAUGCACGAAGGCGUGGGGAUCAAACA
rnacentral:rRNA from 1 species